rnacentral:lncRNA from 1 species
CUUAUUACCUCGCUGUGAAUCAGUAAUGUGCCAGACGAAUGCAGGGCAGUAGCCCAGGUUGCCUGAACCAGCACUGAGAGGGCUACUUUAAAGGAACUGCAGCCUUAGUUCUGUGGUGUCCUGUUUUCAGAAGUAUACAUAUAAAUUUAUGCACAGACAAUCCAAAUGUGAGAGCUGUGAUUGUUCAGGAUUAUUCUGUAUAUACUAUGGCUGGAAGCAAGACCAGUUCCUGAGGAAGUGUUUCAUUCAGCCAGCUUUGUGCCACUUGAGCUUUUUCCAGGAAUUCAGUUCUGGUGUGCUGUUUCUACAUAUUUAUGGCAAAAUGCUGGGAUUUUUAGUGCCACUUCAGUAUCAGGAACUAAAACGUCAAUUUUAUAUCUUCUGAAGUUUUAUCUCCUAGUUUCUGAUAUGGCUACAAACUGCUUAAGACAGGAACUGCAGACUGUACAACAGCCAGAUGCCCAGCUUGACCUGCUAUUUUUUCCUUGGGAGCCUUUUAUUUGAACACAGCAUCAUUCAACUAUUCAACAGAAGACCUUGAACUUUGCUUCUACUCAUAGCAGAGGUUAUGCUGAGAAUACUUUUAAUAACACUUCUUUUCUUCUAUGGAUGCUUCCAGAAUACAUAUGCUACUAGUUUCCUUGGAGACUGACAUGCAGUCAGCACAAUGGCCUUAUAGCACCUGUAAAUCAAACUUUGAAAGAAGACCCUGUCCUUGUUAGUGGAAAUGAUAUGCAUGGCGGUGAAAGAGGAGUGUUUUUCUUCCUACCUGUCUUCUUGAGAAUGAGACAGCAGUAGUCCAUAUAGAGCCUCGAGGACUAGUUACUGUGAGAGUAUUUCAAGUGGUAAAAGCUGAGUGAACCCUCUGUGUAGCAGAGUCCAGACUGCCUGCAGAAUUUAUCAAAAUACAGCAUAGGGAUACCUUUAAUGUGUAGAAUUAAGGCCUCGUUUUGCAGAUGGUUUUGUGGCUGCAAUAGCUACUGAGUUAAUUGUGUAAGCAUCACUAUUUAGAUAUGAAAACACAUUUUAUUAAUUCUCCAACUAACAUUAUUUUAGCAACUUCUUUCAUGCUAUCACAACUAUUGUAGUCUUCAAUUAUCCAUUUUAUUUUCCCUUCCUUUGUGAAGAGAGAGGACACAUACACCAUGAGGUGACAAGUAUGUAUCUGUUUUCUGCAACCUAAAUACUUUAUCUUUCUUCUCUCUCCUUUACACUAUUGUUAUGGGACGUGUCCUGAUGGUUUCCUAUUCCUUUUCCCUUAUGUCUACAUUUGAAAAUGUUAUUAGAUUUAGCAGUUAGAAAUGUGGCCAACAUUUAGCUUCCCAGAUUUGCUCUCACACAGAAACAAAAUUAAAAGAUAAAUUUGAUUUUAGAUUAGCUACAGAUUCAAAAAGGGCUGAAAAUAAAUAACUGGGGACUCAACUUGGGAACA